rnacentral:rRNA from 1 species
GACGAACGCUGGCGGCGUGCUUAACACAUGCAAGUCGAACGGAAAGGCCCUGCUUUUGUGGGGUGCUCGAGUGGCGAACGGGUGAGUAACACGUGAGUAACCUGCCCUUGACUUUGGGAUAACUACAGGAAACUGGGGCUAAUACCGGAUAGGAGCUCCUGCUGCAUGGUGGGGGUUGGAAAGUUUCGGCGGUUGGGGAUGGACUCGCGGCUUAUCAGCUUGUUGGUGGGGUAGUGGCUUACCAAGGCUUUGACGGGUAGCCGGCCUGAGAGGGUGACCGGCCACAUUGGGACUGAGAUACGGCCCAGACUCCUACGGGAGGCAGCAGUGGGGAAUAUUGCACAAUGGGCGGAAGCCUGAUGCAGCAACGCCGCGUGCGGGAUGACGGCCUUCGGGUUGUAAACCGCUUUCGCCUGUGACGAAGCGUGAGUGACGGUAAUGGGUAAAGAAGCACCGGCUAACCACGUGCCAGCAGCCGCGGUGAUACGUAGGGUGCGAGCGUUGUCCGGAUUUAUUGGGCGUAAAGGGCUCGUAGGUGGUUGAUCGCGUCGGAAGUGUAAUCUUGGGGCUUAACCCUGAGCGUGCUUUCGAUACGGGUUGACUUGAGGAGGGUAGGGGAGAAUGGAAUUCCUGGUGGAGCGGUGGAAUGCGCAGAUAUCAGGAGGAACACCAGUGGCGAAGGCGGUUCUCUGGGCCUUUCCUGACGCUGAGGAGCGAAAGCGUGGGGAGCGAACAGGCUUAGAUACCCUGGUAGUCCACGCUGUAAACGGUGGGUACUAGGUGUGGGGUCCAUUCCACGGGUUCCGUGCCGUAGCUAACGCUUUAAGUACCCCGCCUGGGGAGUACGGCCGCAAGGCUAAAACUCAAAGGAAUUGACGGGGCCCCGCACAAGCGGCGGAGCAUGCGGAUUAAUUCGAUGCAACGCGUAGAACCUUACCUGGGUUUGACAUGGAUCGGGAGUGCUCAGAGAUGGGUGUGCCUCUUUUGGGGUCGGUUCACAGGUGGUGCAUGGCUGUCGUCAGCUCGUGUCGUGAGAUGUUGGGUUAAGUCCCGCAACGAGCGCAACCCUUGUUCACUGUUGCCAGCACGUUAUGGUGGGGACUCAGUGGAGACCGCCGGGGUCAACUCGGAGGAAGGUGGGGAUGACGUCAAGUCAUCAUGCCCCUUAUGUCCAGGGCUUCACGCAUGCUACAAUGGCUGGUACAGAGAGUGGCGAGCCUGUGAGGGUGAGCGAAUCUCGGAAAGCCGGUCUCAGUUCGGAUUGGGGUCUGCAACUCGACCUCAUGAAGUCGGAGUCGCUAGUAAUCGCAGAUCAGCAACGCUGCGGUGAAUACGUUCCCGGG